CUGGGUCCGCCUGGCAGCCUAAGGGAGGAGGCGGGAGCCGGGAAGGAGGGAGCCGAGGCCCGGCACGGGGAGGCGGGCAGGAAGGGCCUUUGAGCCCAGUGCGGACCUUUCUUCGGCACGGCCGAGCCGUGCGCUAGGCUGCCGUGCGAGGAGGACGCCGCGACUUCCUCAGACCUGGGCUCGGAUGGAGCAGAAAUAGCGGGACCGGGACAGCUGGCGCGCCUGGUGUCUGGUGCCACAUUUCGAGCGCUGGGAGCCUCUUGGCGCCGGACUCUGCCGUGAGAACGGGCCGGGGUUGGGGGGCCGGCGUGGGAUUGCAGGAGAAGGCCCGGGAGCUGGGAAGCCGUGCUGAGGGCAAGAGUUCACGUGUAGAGAGGUUUCAUCUCUUCACUUGUGUAAUCACUUGUUCCUCGCAAAGUUCUCAGAAUUCCCCUCCGAGAAGGGGAAAGUUGGGGAACUGGAGGCCGGUUACCCUAACUCCGGGGAGAAGGUGAAGCAGCGGUGCCGGCCCCGCCCGCACGCUCGGCGGGACAGGAACUUAGCGGAGGCCGGGGCUGCCUGGUGAACGGCGGUUCUAGGGCACACGGUAACGGUCUUCACUGUUCCUCAAUAGAAGCGGAAAGAAAGGGGCUACGGGAGUGGGGGUGUUGGAGGGGGAGGUUGCAGUGAGCGGCCUCCUCGGAGAAAUGGUCAGUUUAACCCAGGACCCCGCGGCGGAGGGAAGGCGGAGGCACACCCUCACCGGGAAAACCUCCAGAGUCAGGUUUGCACCUGGGCAAGACACGUGAGGAAGACCUAGCCCAACAGCCCCCUGCGACCGAGAAAGGGAAGAAGGCUCCGAGGGUGAAAAGAGCGGCACAACUGGGCUGGAAUUCAGCUCGCUGGUCCCCAAACAGGGUUCCUUUCCCUUCACCAAGUUUGCAUCCUGGAGGAGAGUUAAGAACAGAAGCACGAGGACGAGAGGGCUGCUGAUUUUCACUGGAACGCUAAUUUCCUGUGAGACACUAGGAGUGAUUUUUUUUUUUUAAUUCCUGUAACUGCCUACAGUACAGCUGAAGGAGAAACUAUCUUGUCACCAUGAUUUGACAAGCAUGAAGAUAAAAGCUUCUCCAUAAGGAAGAUGGAGCAAAAAAAAAUGAAGGGGCCCAGAUUCCCUACUUUCACACUUCUUGUUACAAAAAAAAAAAGAUGCCAUUAUAUGGUUAAGCCACAGAAAUGGACUUCUAUUUCAUUCACUUAAAUAUAUCACAAUUCAUACAAUAUCCAUUAAAUUGGUAAGAGUAUCCAUUUUAAAGGAUUAAUCUGAGAGGCUCACAGAGACCUAACUCAAUCAACUCUCAGAAAAAAUCAGAGUUCUUUAUUUCAUUAUGAUUUUGAAGAUUUUUUUUACCAUUGUUAGUUAUCAAACCAGACUAUUUUUCUUCUUUUUUUUUUCUUGCCUGCUGCUCCAUGGGUUGGAAAAACCAAGCUAUUAAAUAUAUUUGUAUUUUCAAAUUUUAUGAAGAAUGAA